rnacentral:rRNA from 1 species
GAUGAACGCUAGCGACAGGCCUAACACAUGCAAGUCGAGGGGCAGCAUAAAGGUAGCAAUACUUUGGUGGCGACCGGCGCACGGGUGAGUAACACGUAUGCAACCUAUCUGUAAGAGGGGAAUAACCCGGAGAAAUUCGGACUAAUACCGCAUAAUACUGAUUAUCUGCAUGGAUUGAUCAGUUAAACAUUUAUGGCUUACAGAUGGGCAUGCGUAUGAUUAGAUAGUUGGUAGGGUAACGGCCUACCAAGUCAACGAUCAUUAGGGGUUCUGAGAGGAAGGUCCCCCACACUGGUACUGAGACACGGACCAGACUCCUACGGGAGGCAGCAGUGAGGAAUAUUGGUCAAUGGGCGAGAGCCUGAACCAGCCAAGUCGCGUGAAGGAAGAAGGUUCUAUGGAUUGUAAACUUCUUUUGUAAGGGAAUAAAAAGAGUUACGUGUAACUUAUUGUAUGUACUUUACGAAUAAGGAUCGGCUAACUCCGUG